rnacentral:rRNA from 1 species
GACGAACGCUGGCGGCGUGCCUAAUACAUGCAAGUAGAACGCACAGUUUAUACCGUAGCUUGCUACACCAUAGACUGUGAGUUGCGAACGGGUGAGUAACGCGUAGGUAACCUGCCUGGUAGCGGGGGAUAACUAUUGGAAACGAUAGCUAAUACCGCAUAAUAUUAAUUAUUGCAUGAUAAUUAAUUGAAAGGUGCAAUUGCACCACUACCAGAUGGACCUGCGUUGUAUUAGCUAGUAGGUGAGGUAACGGCUCACCUAGGCGACGAUACAUAGCCGACCUGAGAGGGUGAUCGGCCACCCUGGGACUGGGACACGGCCCAGACUCCUACGGGAGGCAGCAGUAGGGAAUCUUCGGCAAUGGACGAAAGUCUGACCGAGCAACGCCGCGUGAGUGAAGAAGGUUUUCGGAUCGUAAAGCUCUGUUGUAAGAGAAGAACGGGUGUGAGAGUGGAAAGUUCACACUGUGACGGUAUCUUACCAGAAAGGGACGGCUAACUACGUG